rnacentral:rRNA from 1 species
UGCGAUCUCAACUCAUACGUGACUACCCCCU